rnacentral:rRNA from 1 species
UAGGGAAUCUUCCGCAAUGGGCGAAAGCCUGACGGAGCAACGCCGCGUGAGUGAUGAAGGUCUUCGGAUCGUAAAACUCUGUUAUUAGGGAAGAACAAAUGGGUAAGUAACUAUGCACGUCUUGACGGUACCUAAUCAGAAAGCCACGGCUAACUACGUGCCAGCAGCCGCGGUAAUACGUAGGUGGCAAGCGUUAUCCGGAAUUAUUGGGCGUAAAGCGCGCGUAGGCGGUUUUUUAAGUCUGAUGUGAAAGCCCACGGCUCAACCGUGGAGGGUCAUUGUAAACUGGAAAACUUGAGUGCAGAAGAGGAAAGUGGAAUUCCAUGUGUAGCGGUGAAAUGCGCAGCGAUAUGGAGGAACACCAGUGGCGAAGGCGACUUUCUGGUCUGUAACUGACGCUGAUGUGCGAAAGCGUGGGGAUCAAACAGG